rnacentral:rRNA from 1 species
UACGGGAGGCAGCAGUUAGGAAUCUUGGACAAUGGGCGCAAGCCUGAUCCAGCCAUGCCGCGUGAGUGAUGAAGGCCUUAGGGUUGUAAAGCUCUUUCAGCGGGGAAGAUAAUGACGGUACCCGCAGAAGAAGCCCCGGCUAACUUC